ensembl:lncRNA
UGUGGUCUUAAGUGUGGGAUGUUUCUCAGCUUUUUGCUAAAGGUUCUUUUUAUAACUGGUCACUGGAGGUAAAACUGGAGUGAAUUUGGAUUGGGUGUCUGCAUUUCAGCCGGAAGCCUCUCCAAGGAGGAAAGAGCUCAAGGGUCCUUUGCCUCUCAGCUGGUGUCACUUCAUGCUGCAGCCUUUGUGUGCACACAGUCAUGAGACGGAUGUACAGAAUAAGCAGGUGAAGCAAAUCAGCCAAGAGGUAUCUCAUGACUCUGCCUUCCUGCUUCAAGCCAGUGAAGGUUUCUGUGAAGGACCACUCAGCUUCAGGGACUGAGUGAAGUCUAACCACCCUACUGACUCAGCCCUGCAAUGCUCAGCAGCCAAGAGGAAGAACAAGCAGAUGAUGCCCUAGUUGACAUCAGAGAGUCAACAGCAAAGGCAGGAGAAAAGCCUUAAUUCCUGAGUACUUUCUCUUCAUUGUAGAUUUCUGUUGGGAAAUAUAUUCACACAUAUGCAUUAACCUGGAUAUUUCCAGUGCUUUAAAUUAAAAAUGAACUGACUUU